rnacentral:rRNA from 1 species
AUACGAGGGGUGCAAGCGUUAUUCGGAAUCAUUGGGCGUAAAGGGUGUGUAGACGGCAUGUUAAGUCCGCUGUUAAAUUUUUCGGCCUAACUGAAAACCUGCAGUAGAUACUGGCAAGCUAGAGGAUGGAAGAGAGAAGUGGAAUUCUCGGAGUAGCGGUAAAAUGCGUAGAUCUCGAGAGGAACACCGAUGGCGAAGGCAGCUUCUUGGUCCAUAUCUGACGUUGAGACACGAAAGCGUGGGGAGCAAACAGGAUUAGAAACCCCAGUAGUCC